AUUUUAUCUACACAAUUCAAUAUAUGUUUUCCUAUAUUAUCAAAUAUCCACAAUUUUAUUUAAAUUAUCCAAUCUCCCCUUUGAUGUUAAGAGUGACAUUAAAUAUAAUAAAUGAUAAUUCCACGACUCAACAACUUAGUCUAUCAUUAAUGGUAUGCGUCAGUGUAAAUAUAUGAAUGUUUGUAAUAUCAAGGACAUAUCCACAUAUACCAUGUGAAAGGAUGAACUAGUUUUAAUUUGUUCUCUAAAUUUUCAACAUUAUAUUUUGGUUGAAGGGCUGACCAGUUAGCUACUAGGCUCAUUUCAAACAUGGAUUUAACACAAAUUCCUGUAUGAGUCAAUAUAACUAUUUAAUGUAAUAUUUGAGAAUGAUGAUUUUAUUUGAAAAUUUGAAAUUGGUUUAAAUUUAUUGUUUAGUAAAUUAAAAUUUUUUAAAUUUGAGUUGGUGUCUUUGGAAGGUACAACUACUAUCUCGAGUCCCUUGGAGUUCUCAUCAGGAAGGAAUUCCCAAACUAAUUAUAAGCUGAAGACUCGCGUGGAGAGCUUAAUGUAUGUUAGCAUGUUUUAAAUAAGCCGUAUGGCCUCUCAAGUGUGAUUUAUUGUAAUCUUAAACUUGAGUGAUUGUAUCUUGUAUAUGUUUGCCUUAUCUAUGAGGUAAACCAUUAUAUAUAAAUAGAUACUAUUUUAUAUAA